GAAGACGACGAGGUAGAUAGGACAGAGGUGGAAGUGUGGUAACACAUGGAGCUGACUGUUACUAAUAGGUCGAGGGCAUAACCAAG
rnacentral:rRNA from 1 species